rnacentral:rRNA from 1 species
GAUUAAGCCAUGCAUGUGUAAGUAUAAAUAAUUUUACUUUGAAACUGCGAAUGGCUCAUUAUAUCAGUUAUAGUUUAUUAGAAAUAUUUUACUACUUGGAUAACCGUAGUAAUUCUAGGGCUAAUACAUGAGUAAAACCUCAACUUCGGAAGAGGUGUGUUUAUUAGUAUGAAAACCAUAUAUCUUCGGAUAUAAUAGUGAGUAAUAAUAACCUUUCGUAUCGUAUGUCGUAAGAUAACGAUAGUUCUUUCAAGUUUCUGCCCUAUCAGCUUUCGAUGGUAGUAUAUGGGACUACCAUG